rnacentral:rRNA from 1 species
CGGCGACCGGCGCACGGGUGAGUAACACGUAUGCGACCUGCCCGUAGCAGGGGGAUAAGCGGAAGAAAUUCCGCCUAAUACCGCGUAAUAUCUUUCGGGGGCAUUCCUGAGGGAUUAAAGGAAGCGAUUCCGGCUACGGAUGGGCAUGCGGCGCAUUAGCUAGUCGGCGGGGUAACGGCCCACCGAGGCGACGAUGCGUAGGGGUUCUGAGAGGAAGGUCCCCCACACUGGUACUGAGACACGGACCAGACUCCUACGGGAGGCAGCAG